rnacentral:ncRNA from 1 species
GAACGGGUGGCCUUGUAAGGCAAGGCUGAAAAGGGAAGACCGGUGCAAAUCCGGCGCGGUCCCGCCACUGUGAGGGGGAGCUGCCUUACGUGAUACCACUGGGCGAAAAACCCGGGAAGGUGUAAGGCCGCGAGGAACCCGAGCCAGGAGACCUGCCUGUUCC